GCCGGCGUAGCUCAAAGGAAAUCAGAGUACCACUUUAUCUUAUCGGAGUGGAGGUUGCUGGUUCAAAUCCGGCCGUCGGUA
rnacentral:tRNA from 2 species